UACGAAGGGGGCUAGCGUUGCUCGGAAUUACUGGGCGUAAAGGGCGCGUAGGCGGAUAUUUAAGUUAGAGGUGAAAGCCCAGGGCUCAACCCUGGAAUAGCCUUUAAUACUGGAUAUCUUGAGUUCGGGAGAGGUGAGUGGAACUCCGAGUGUAGAGGUGAAAUUCGUAGAUAUUCGGAAGAACACCAGUGGCGAAGGCGACUCACUGGCCCGAUACUGACGCUGAGGCGCGAAAGCGUGGGGAGCAAACAGGG
rnacentral:rRNA from 1 species